rnacentral:tRNA from 2 species
GCCCCCGUAGCUCAGGGGAUAGAGCACCGCCCUCCGGAGGCGGGAGCGCGCGUUCGAAUCGCGCCGGGGGCGCCA